GGUUAUGGCUCAGUGGUAGAGCCUUUGCCUCACAUGUGUGAGGCACUGGGUUCAAUUCUCAGCACCA
rnacentral:tRNA from 1 species